ensembl:lncRNA
UUUGAUGACCCAAGUAAAAGGAGUAGCAUAGCCGAAUAAGCUCUGCACUUUUGCCCCUUAUGCACCUGUGAGUAAAAAGUAAGCCUGAAAGAAGCUCGGGGUGUUAUGUCGGGACAAGGGUAUCAUGAAAUAUAUCCGUGUUAUGGGGGUUAAAACAAGCAUGAUCAAUUGUAUUGUCCGUUUUGCGCUUUAACCUUAAAAUACCAACACAAUUCGAUUUCAAAUUGGGUAAUUUCGAGGAUUUUCCUCCUCUCCGAUCAGAGAAAUUAUUCAAAAUAAACAACGUUUGUAUGUCCACUGUUACGAAAUUUCCCUCCUCCUCCUCCUGCUCACUUUGGUUCAUUCCGGAGUUUCGGCAGAAUGCAUCGAUUGCUGAAUGAAGAUGGCGGAUUCAGGAACGAUGCUGUCAACUAGACUUUAAACAUUUGCAUAUUUUCUGUCGUUAUGCAUUUCGUGUGGAUAUUGGUCUUUCAAAAACGUACCUAGGUGGCGAGAGAGGGCGGCGGAGGAGAAGAGAGCGCAGGAGGGGCAGAACGACAGAUUUUCACCUUGUCAGCUCGGGGG